AGAAGAAAGAGGUCAGAGAGAGCUGGGCCAUGGGGCAGGGGCAUCAGGACUCCUGGCAAUACCCCAGAUCCAUAGCAUGGGGAGGGGAGACACGUCAGGCUGAUAGGGGGUCCCCAAGGGGCCUAGGGGGGUUGCCAGGGCACUGGGAGAGGACAGGGUCGGGGUCCAGUGUCCAUCACCUCCCUGGGCACCUGGAAGCAGGAAGAGACACCCCCCCUAGUGCAGAGGGAGCUCAGCUUACUCUACGGUCAAUUGGGCUGUAGAGACAGGCUGUCCCCAGGAUCCCACAGGCUUGUAGAAGAGACUGUUGGCCUUGGAUCUCUGUCCCUGACCCACUGUGCUCCCAGUCCUGGGAAAAUGCUUUGUGCUCCCUCGAGGUUCUUCUGAGCAGAGGGCAGGCUGGGGGCUGAGGACCUGGGUAGAGCAGAGCAGUGACCACUGGUCGGGGGACCAAGGUCAGGACCCUCCUUGGUGCAGCCUCAGGGUCCCCAUUUGGAAGAGGUUCCAGAGUCAGUGCUCUGGCCAGGGUGAGGAGGCCUGAGGAAGGAACUGAGCACCAGGACAGGAGAGGGAAACAGGGACAAGGGAGACUUCUGACGUUUCUCACAUCGCCCCCGGAGCCCACAGAUCCUGCUCCUGGGAGACAAACAGAGACAGAGACAGAGAUUGAACACAGGAGAGAGGGAACCAGAAGUCACAGACUUUCCUCCAUCAGCUUGGAAAUCUCUUCCUUGAGCACAGUCACACAGGCCAUCCACUCUGAAGGGGAGGGGAUUCCACAGAGAUGUGUGACCAGGAUUCGGGAAUGCCCGGGAGCCACUGUGGAGACUGCCCAGCACAUGGGCGCAGGCGAGGCCAUAGGGCCUGAGCCUAAAUCUGAUGGGAGCCCCUGGAAGUCUGUCGUGAGAGGACAAGAGCCAGCCCCCUGCCCAGCUCAUUUCGUUGGAGAUCCUCGAACGAAGAACAUGUUUGCGUGUUGCAUCCCCAAGUCCGGAGGCUGCAGGCUGAGGAAAGCACGCCCUGCAAACACUUCCCCUCGCUGGGGAUGUGGCGUCAGGGCUC
rnacentral:lncRNA from 1 species